GUAUUCUUGCGAAUUUUGGAAAGGACGAGGAAAAGAAAGAAUAAUUAUAUCUCGAAAUUGUGGCCCUUGCGUGUUUCGGAGUCGCCCACACCUCAUCUAAUUUCUCUUCCAAUCGUGACACGUUAACGACUCAUCUUCACCACAAAGAUGAAUAGAUCACUACAGAGACAAGCUCGCAGGCAGAACAUCCGACAAUUGGAACGGUAUAUCGAGUCAAGGGCCAGGAUUCUCCGACUUUUGCACUCUAUCGAUAGGCGCGCCCCUCAAUUAUUCCAUCUACCGAAUCACUCGCGACAAAUUCAGCACGCGAUCGACCUAUCGACUUUUUCGUGUUUUGAUGUAGAAAUCGUCAAUACCGCCCCUCGUAAUAUUGUCCCUCGACGCACCUCGCGACGCGUACCCCCGCAAGCUAUAAGCUAUCCCCCUCAACCACCAGCACCGGUUGCUUCGACAUCUAACCCUCCCCCUUCCCCCUCUCGAUCUAGCAGUACAGCAACCGAUAUCGAGGAGGCCCUCCGAGACACGGUCGACGAGAGUCUCGCUCGAAUGAUAGAAGCAGUGCAAACUUUUAAUACAAUACCAUCUGAAGCUCUCCCUAGUGUAAACCAAGACGAAUUCGAGGAAUAUCUACGAUCCUUAGAAUUGCGCCCAGUCCAGCCCAGCGACCCAUGAUUGUAACCCCCCUUUUUACAUGGUAGUCUAGUGGUUGUAGACACCUAGUAUAGUAAUAAAGUAGAGUUGUUUUGAUAAAGAGACCAUUUCUGUUUCUUUCGCG